rnacentral:rRNA from 1 species
GACGGGGGAUGCAAGUGUUAUCCGGAAUCACUGGGCGUAAAGCGUCUGUAGGUGGUUUAAUAAGUCAACUGUUAAAUCUUGAGGCUCAACCUCAAAAUCGCAGUCGAAACUAUUAGACUAGAGUAUAGUAGGGGUAAAGGGAAUUUCCAGUGGAGCGGUGAAAUGCGUAGAUAUUGGAAAGAACACCGAUGGCGAAGGCACUUUACUGGGCUAUUACUAACACUCAGAGACGAAAGCUAGAGUAGCAAAUGGG